GUACACGCUGUGACUAGCAUAUCAAUAAGCGGAGGAAAAGAAACUAACAAGGAUUCCCCUAGUAACGGCGAGUGAAGCGGGAAGAGCUCAAAUUUGAAAUCUUAAAGGGUUUCCCUUUACGAAUUGUAGUUUAAAGAAGUGUUUUCUGUUGAGGUUUUGGUAAAAGUUCUUUGGAAUAGGACAUCAUAGAGGGUGAGAAUCCCGUAUUUGACCUUUACUUUCAACUUUGUGAUACACUUUCAAAGAGUCGGAUUGUUUGGGGAAUGCAGUCCAAAAUGGGUGGUAAAUUUCAUCUAAAGCUAAAUAUUGGCGAGAGACCGAUAGCGAACAAGUACCGUGAGGGAAAGAUGAAAAGAACUUUGAAAAGAGAGUUAAACAGUACGUGAAAUUGUCAAAAGGGAAGCGUUUGACACCAGUGUUGUUUUUCUGAAAAUCAAUUAAAGAACUGUUUAUGCUAAGUUGUUUAGACUUUAUCAGCUAUCUGUUUAGUUUUGAGCUUUUCUUUAAUGCACUUUUCAGUUAACAAGUCAACAUCAAUUUCUUUUGCUGUAAAAAAGCUUGAGGAAGGUGGCUUGAGAUUCGUCUUAAGUGUUUAUAGCCUCUUGCCUAUGCAGUCGGAGGGAUUGAGGUCUGCAGCGUAGAUCCUUCGGGGCUAAAUGCAUUUGUGCUAAGUUAUAACAUUUUAUAGACAACUUGUUGACUAUGAUUUGUCUUGUAGCUUACUCGCUUAUGUUAUUUUACCUACGCUUAGGAUGUUGACGAGACUGUCGAUCUC
rnacentral:rRNA from 1 species